rnacentral:rRNA from 1 species
AGCUUGCUGAAUACACGACCGGCGCACGGGUGAGUAACACGUUUGCAACCUUCCUCUAACUGGAGAAUAGCCCGAAGAAAUUCGGAUUAAUACUCCACAAAGUCAAUUUAAGGCAUCUUUUAUUGAUUAAAGCUCCGGCGGUUAGAGAUGGGCAUGCGUGUCAUUAGCUAGUUGGUGAGGUAACGGCUCACCAAGGCCACGAUGACUAGGGGGUCUGAGAGGAUGAUCCCCCACACUGGUACUGAGACACGGACCAGACUCCUACGGGAGGCAGCAGUGAGGAAUAUUGGGCAAUGGACGCAAGUCUGACCCAGCCAUGCCGCGUGCAGGAUGACUGCCCUAUGGGUUGUAAACUGCUUUUGUUUGGGAAGAAACCCCCGAUCGUGAUCGGGGCUGACGGUACCAUACGAAUAAGCAUCGGCUAACUCCGUGCCAGCAGCCGCGGUAAUACGGAGGAUGCAAGCGUUAUCCGGAUUCAUUGGGUUUAAAGGGUGCGCAGGCGGAAUAUUAAGUCAGUGGUGAAAUCCUGCAGCUUAACUGUAGAACUGCCAUUGAUACUGAUAUUCUUGAAUAUAGUUGAGGUGGGCGGAAUGUGUAAUGUAGCGGUGAAAUGCUUAGAUAUUACACAGAACACCAAUUGCGAAGGCAGCUCACUAAACUAAUAUUGACGCUGAGGCACCAAAGCGUGGGUAGCAAACCGGAUUAGAUACCCUGGUAGUCCAAGCUGGUAAACUAUGAUCACUCCGCUGUUGGCAAUACUUCGUCAGCGGCUGAGCGUAAGCAUUGAAGUGAUCCACCUGGGGAAAUACGGUCGCAUAGAUUGUAACUCUAAGGUAUUGACGGGGUCCCGCACUAUCGGAGGUACAUGUGGUUUAAUUCGAUGAUACGCGAGGAACCUUACCUGGGCUUUUAUGCAGAGCGACGUCCGCCGAAAGGUGGAUUCCUUCGGGCGAUCUGCAAGGUGCUGCAUGGUUGUCGUCAGCUCGUGCCGUGAGGUGUCGGGUUAAGUCCCAUAACGAGCGCAACCCUUAUCGUUAGUUGCCAGCGGGUAAUGCCGGGGACUCUAACGAAACUGCCGGUGUAAACCGUGAGGAAGGUGGGGAUGACGUCAAAUCAGCACGGCCCUUAUGUCCAGGGCUACACACGUGUUACAAUGGUCGGUACAGAGGGCAGCUACCACGCAAGUGGAUGCUAAUCUCGAUAACCGGUCUCAGUUCGGAUUGAAGUCUGCAACUCGACUUCAUGAAGCUGGAUUCGCUAGUAAUCGCGCAUCAGCCAUGGCGCGGUGAUACGUUCCCGGGCAUUGUACACACCGCCCGUCAAGCCAUGGAAGC